AUGACGACGAGGUUUGGUGGAACGGCGGCGCUGAGUUUCAGAGCAUGGGCGGUGGUCUUCGGUGGAGCUUCGUUUCGUGAUACAGAUGGAAGCACGUCGACGUUUGGGGCGGUGAUGUCUGCUGUUCGUGGGGAUGCAACCAGUCCUUGUGCGGCUUACGAUGGUGGUUGUCAGCUCGAAGUUAUGUGUGAGGAGGAGGAUCGUCGAAGUCGUUGGUUGAGGUUGUCCCGCGUGUGGAGGUUCAGUGUUGUUGUUGAUGCGGUGCGGUGGUGGAACGGCUUGGACGGCGGAGUGUUCACGGUGUUGUUCUGA